rnacentral:rRNA from 1 species
CUACGACGGAUACGGGUUGUGAGAGCAAGAGCCCGGAGAUGGAUUCUGAGACACGAAUCCAGGCCCUACGGGGUGCAGCAGGCGCGAAAACUUUACAAUGCUGGCAACAGCGAUAAGGGAACCUCGAGUGCCAGGUUACAAAUCUGGCUGUCGAGAUGCCUAAAAAGCAUUUCAUAGCAAGGGCCGGGCAAGACCGGUGCCAGCCGCCGCGGUAACACCGGCGGCUCGAGUGGUAACCGUUAUUAUUGGGUCUAAAGGGUCUGUAGCCGGCCGGAUAAGUCUCUUGAGAAAUCUGGCAGCUUAACUGUCAGGCUUUCAGGAGAUACUGUCUGGCUCGAGGCCGGGAGAGGUGAGAGGUACUUCAGGGGUAGGGGUGAAAUCUUGUAAUCCUUGAAGGACCACCAGUGGCGAAGGCGUCUCACCAGAACGGACCUGACGGCAAGGGACGAAAGCUAGGGGCACGAACCGGAUUAGAUACCCGGGUAGUCCUAGCCGUAAACGAUACUCGCUAGGUGUCGGCCACGGUGCGACCGUUGUCGGUGCCGUAGGGAAGCCGUGAAGCGAGC